GGAGCCAAAGGUCAGCAUCUCCUCAGGACAGGGGGAUGUAACCAGCCUACAGUCUUCUGGGGGCUGUCAAGGAGGAUGUGUCCAUGGAUCACUUGAAUUUCCAAUUCAAGCAAAUCUCGGCUGGAGAACAUUUUUCUCUCAGGGCAGCCCGGAGAGAAAUGAGGCCGUACAUGGUAAACUGAGGCAGAGGUGGGAGGGGUGCACAGGUGCCGCUACCGCUCUGCCCCUUGCAUCCCUGAACGCUGCCUCACCCUUGCCGGGUUGGCGGUGUUGAGCCCGGGACUGGAGGCUGCUUGAGACCACCUCCUUCCCAGCUGAGGAGCGCGGCCUUUGCCCCUCCUCCUCCCGACCUUUCCGGGGCUACCUAAAAGCCGAUCAAGCCGCCGGUUUUCUAGCUGUUCCCAUUUCUUUACCGCCCCCUUCCUCUGCCCCGCCUGCCUCUGUGCCCUCCGUCACGUCACAGCCCGCUGGCUCUCACGCCUCUUUUGGUCUCUCUGCGCACAUCUCGGUGGCGUCUCUGGUGCCCUCACAUCACUGUCUGGAAUCUUGUUUGGCCCACGCCGUCUGCCUCUGCCCCUUCUCUCACCUGUGUCGUUUGAUCCCUCCGACUCUCGUCUCUGGGGGUCUUGCCUCCCGAACUCUCCGGCUCUCUCCUUCCAGGGCGUGCGCUCCGCUCAGUCUCCCUCGGUCUCGGUCGGCCGGCCUCUUUCACGUGGCCCCCUCCUUUUUGGCCUCCCUUCCGCCU
rnacentral:lncRNA from 10 species